GGGGGUGGUGUGAAAGGCCUUUAUUUGGGUAGAAAUUCAACGACUUAGUAUUGAAUCUGGAGUGAGGAUGUCUGUGUUGCAGAGCCUUUGAUGGGAGAAAAAAUUCAACGCCUUGGACUGAAUCUUGGUGAUUUUUUUUUCCCUCUUUUAAUAAUUUUUAAUAUUUUAAUAUUUUAAUAUUUUCUCUUAAUUUCAUCACAGCAUCAGACCCACUGUGAUCCUUUCUCCAUCAAACCCAUGUAAUUUUUGUUUUAUGGAGGAUUUGUUUUCUUCCAUGUAUGAGGUUAUGGAUUUGUGCUUCAAAAUAAGGUGAAGUGUCUUGGGUUGCCAUUACCAUUUCAAAGACUGUAUUGCUAAAUCUAAAGGGGUAUGCUCACUUGGACUUUUCAUGCAUACUUGGUGAGAUUCUCACCUUCUUCUGAGAGCCUAAUAUUUAGGGGCUAACAUUUGUGUACUCUACAAGUUAUAAAUUGAGCUAAACGAAUUACAAAAUAUUUUAGGU